CACGUAGUUAGCCGGUGCUUCUUCUGCAGGUACCGUCACUUGCGCUUCGUCCCUGCUGAAAGAGGUUUACAACCCGAAGGCCGUCAUCCCUCACGCGGCGUCGCUGCAUCAGGCUUUCGCCCAUUGUGCAAUAUUCCCCACUGCUGCCUCCCGUAGGAGUCCGGGCCGUGUCUCAGUCCCAGUGUGGCCGGUCACCCUCUCAGGUCGGCUACCCGUCGUCGCCUUGGUAGGCCAUUACCCCACCAACAAGCUGAUAGGCCGCGGGCCCAUCCUGCACCGAUAAAUCUUUCCACCACCCACCAUGCGAUAGGAGGUCAUAUCCGGUAUUAGACCCAGUUUCCCAGGCUUAUCCCGAAGUGCAGGGCAGAUCACCCACGUGUUACUCACCCGUUCGCCGCUCGUGUACCCCGAAAGGCCUUACCGCUCGACUUGCAUGUGUUAAGCACGCCGCCAGCGUUCGUCCUGAGCCAGGAUCAAACUCU
rnacentral:rRNA from 1 species